CAGCAGCCGCGGUAAUACCGGCGGCCCGAGUGGCGGUCACUAUUAUUGGGCUUAAAGCGUCCGUAGCCGGGUUGGGAAGUCCUCCGGGAAAUCUGGCCGCUUAACGGUCAGAAUGCCGGAGGAUACUCCCAGCCUAGGGAGCGGGAGAGGCCGAGGGGAUUCCCGGGGUAGGGGGGAAAUCCUAUAAUCCCGGGAGGACCACCUGUGGCGAAGGCGCUCGGCUGGAACGCGUCCGACGGUGAGGGACGAAGGCCAGGGGAGCAAACCGGAUUAGAUACCCGGGUAGUCCUGGCUGUAAACGAUGCGGACUUUGUGUCGGACAAGCUAUGAGCUUGUCCGGUGCCGGAGGGAAACCGUUAAGUCCGCCGCCUGGGGAGUACGGCCGCAAGGCUGAAACUUAAAGGAAUUGGCGGG
rnacentral:rRNA from 1 species